rnacentral:ncRNA from 1 species
UGAAUGGCUGGGAUAAGGAAUAGUAAGGAUGGAAGGCUUUUUCAGAGAGCUGCCGGCGGGUGUAAGGCAGCAGCAUAGGAAGUCCUGAACUCGCCUUGGAGCUCUUUUUCUGAAGCAGUAUUUGUGUGUAGGAGAAAGCGGGAUUUCCCGUUACAGAAAAUAUGAGUGCGUAAGAGUGCAGAAGCUGCCAGCAGCUGUUGGAGUCUUACGAAGUAGAGUGGUACCGCGGAUAUGCUCCGUCUCUAUG